CCUUCGGGUGAGAUAUAAAGUGGCGCACGGGUGAGUAACACGUAGGUAAUGUACCUUUGGGUGGGGAAUAACUUAGGGAAACUUAAGCUAAUACCGCAUAAUGCGAUAACUUCUUCGGAAGAAUUUGUUAAAGAUUUAUCGCCUGAAGAGCAGCCUGCGGCAGAUUAGCUAGUUGGUAAAGUAACGGCUUACCAAGGCAACGAUCUGUAUCCGACCUGAGAGGGUGGUCGGACACACUGACACUGAAUAACGGGUCAGACUCCUACGGGAGGCAGCAGUCGGGAAUUUUGGGCAAUGGGCGAAAGCCUGACCCAGCAACGCCGCGUGAAGGAUGAAGUCUUUCGGGAUGUAAACUUCGUAAGAAUAGGAAGAAUAAAUGACGGUACUAUUUGUAAGGUCCGGCUAACUACGUGCCAGCAGCCGCGGUAAUACGUAGGGACCAAGCGUUGUUCGGAUUUACUGGGCGUAAAGGGCGCGUAGGCGGCAAUUCAAGUCAGUUGUGAAAUCUCCGAGCUUAACUCGGAACGGUCAACUGAUACUGCUUUGCUAGAGUACAGAAGGGGCAAUCGGAAUUCUUGGUGUAGCGGUGAAAUGCGUAGAUAUCAAGAGGAACACCUGAG
rnacentral:rRNA from 1 species